GAUAAACGCUGGCGGCGUGCCUAAUACAUGCAAGUCGUACGCUGAAAGUCUAGCUUGCUAGAUGAGUAGGAGUGGCGAACGGGUGAGUAAUACAUAAGCAACCUACCCACGAAGACUGGGAUAAUCCUUGGAAACGAGGACUAAUACCGGAUAAGUAAUCGGAUGGCAUCUUCUGAUUAUUAAAGGUUCAAAACACUGGUGGAUGGGCUUAUGGCGCAUUAGCUUGUUGGUGAGGUAACGGCUCACCAAGGCGAUGAUGCGUAGCCGGCCUGAGAGGGUGAACGGCCACAUUGGGACUGAGACACGGCCCAGACUCC
rnacentral:rRNA from 1 species